rnacentral:rRNA from 1 species
GACAGAGGGUGCAAACGUUGUUCGGAAUUACUGGGCGUAAAGCGCGUGUAGGCGGCCCUGUAAGUCGGGUGUGAAAUCCCACGGCUCAGCCGUGGAAGUGCAUUCGAAACUACAGGGCUAGAGUUCUGGAGAGGAAGGUGGAAUGCUUGGUGUAGAGGUGAAAUUCGUAGAUAUCAAGCGGAACACCGGUGGCGAAGGCGGCCUUCUGGACAGUAACUGACGCUGAGACGCGAAAGCGUGGGGAGCAAACAGG